rnacentral:misc_RNA from 1 species
GAUGAAGAACGUAGCGAAAUGCGAUAAGUAAUGUGAAUUGCAGAAUUUAGUGAAUCAUCGAAUCUUUGAACGCACAUUGCGCCCGCUGGUAUUCCGGCGGGCAUGCCUGUUCGAGCGUCAUUUCAACCCUCAAGCUCUCCGGAGUUUGGUGUUGGGGCGCCUGGGGCUUUUCGACCUCAGGGCCCUCAAGUCCAUCGGCGGGACCGCCAGGACACUGAGCGCAGUAGUAUUAUUUCGCUCGGUAGGAUCUUCCACGGCGGGUCGAUCUGGCCGCUAAACCCCCCAAUUCUCACCAAAGGUUGACCUCGGAUCAGGUAGGAAUACCCGCUGAACUUAAGCAUAUCAAUAAGCGGAGGA